CUACGUGCCAGCAGCCGCGGUAAUACGGAAGGUCCAGGCGUUAUCCGGAUUUAUUGGGUUUAAAGGGAGUGUAGGCGGUCUGUUAAGCGUGUUGUGAAAUUUAGGUGCUCAACAUUUAACUUGCAGCGCGAACUGGCGGACUUGAGUGCACGCAACGUAUGCGGAAUUCAUGGUGUAGCGGUGAAAUGCUUAGAUAUCAUGACGAACUCCGAUUGCGAAGGCAGCGUACGGGAGUGUUACUGACGCUUAAGCUCGAAGGUGCGGGUAUCGAACAGGAUUAGAUACCCUGGUAGUCCGCACGGUAAACGAUGGAUGCCCGCUGUUAGCGCCUGGCGUUAGCGGCUAAGCGAAAGCAUUAAGCAUCCCACCUGGGGAGUACGCCGGCAACGGUGAAACUCAAAGGAAUUGACGGGGGCCCGCACAAGCGGUGGAGCAUGUGGUUUAAUUCGACGCAACGCGAAGAACCUUACCCGGUCUUGAGAUCC
rnacentral:rRNA from 1 species